UGGGGAAUCUUGCGCAAUGGCCGAAAGGCUGACGCAGCGACGCCGCGUGGGGGAGGAAGGCCUUCGGGUUGUAAACCCCUGUUGCCCGGGACGAAUGCGCUCUAUUGGGGGCGUUGACGGUACCGGGUGAGGAAGCACCGGCUAACUCCGUGCCAGCAGCCGCGGUAAUACGGAGGGUGCGAGCGUUGUCCGGAAUCACUGGGCGUAAAGGGCGCGUAGGCGGCUCAUGAAGGCUGUGGUGAAAGUCCGAGGCUCAACCUCGGAUCGGCCGUGGCGACUCGUGGGCUGGAGCACUGUAGAGGCGGGUGGAAUUCCGGGUGUAGCGGUGGAAUGCGUAGAGAUCCGGAAGAACACCAGUGGCGAAGGCGGCCCGCUGGGCAGUGGCUGACGCUGAAGCGCGACAGCGUGGGGAGCAAACAG
rnacentral:rRNA from 1 species